UCUUGGCCCAGUAGAACGACCUCCGCAAAGACUGAGAGUAUACGCUUCACGUGGUAGCUGGAGGGCCUGGCGUGUGCGAGGGAAGCUC
rnacentral:snoRNA from 1 species